AGAAAAACCUCUAAUGAUGUAUGUGUCUGGUUUGAUGUAUUUCAUUAAGAUCUUUGCAGUAUCGACACUCUUCAUUACUCCUGCAACUUGUUUCGAAUUACCCAAAGGUGCAUGUCAGAAAUCUUUGGUCUCUAUUUGUUCUGUAUCUGAAUGUCCAAAAAAUAAAGAUGACUUUGAAGAAGCUGCAAAACGGAAAGAUUGUAGCCUGUAUGAGUCCUCGAGUUGCAGAACACUGAAAUAUCACUGUGUAUUGAAUUACAAUUUAACAGGAUUAGUUGAAGUGUGUGCUUUUUCAAGGAUAAUCCAAUCUGGAAGAUGUGCAACAUUUAAUGAAGUAUUCUACAGCAUCAGGGAAACUGAUAAAGUUACCUGUACACAAUCCAAAGACCCGUGUCCCUCCCCUUACAAUUCCAAGGAAUCGUAUAAAUAUACGAAGUGCUUCGAAAUACUGCCAAAUUCUUCGAGAUUACAUACGCAGAGAAAUGACAAUUGCAGAUCUAGAGGAUUGGAAGAAGAAAUCGACCACUUUCCUUUAUGGGCAAUAAUACUCACCUCAGUGUCAAUAUUUAUUCUCUAGGCUAUUAUUUCAGUAAUCUGCCUCAUAUACAAAUACAGAAAGAGCAAGAAAACCAAGAGAAGACAAGAACAAGAGGAUGUAAAAGAUGGCACGGGGGAUGUAAUGCUUCAAGAGAUUGACUCCAUUUCGCUUCAUUAAAACUACAUUUUUUAUGUUCCUUUUUUUCGAAUGCCGAACGACUGGUCUUAUUUUUUUCAAAACAGGCAAAUAUAUAUAACUGCUGAAACGAUUGCUCUUUUUUUCGGAUUGGGGACAAUAAAUAUUCGCCUAACAACAAGACGUUAUGAAAGAUACAGAAUUUCCAUGAAAAAAAACUGUCAUUUUAUCUUUAAAUACAAGUAAAGAAAAGUUAUUAGACCAUUUUACAUGUAUCAAAGAAAAUAUACAAGAGGAGAGAUCUGAAUAGAAACAGAAACAUGGACCAGUAGUAUAUGAAAGUUAGACUUUUUUACUUUUGAUAAUGAAACUUACUUAACAAAUGAUACAAUGUGUUUUCAUAUUUUUUCCAAUUUUUACUCUAUAAUUUCGUUAAUUAUUUCUUAUAAUGCUUCAUUUGACCUUUGCUUUUCUUUUUUCACGAUGAAAGGACGCCCCGAAAUAUGUAAGAGUAAAUGAAGACAAAAAUUUGACAAUAAACUCUGGGACUGUUUCUUUAGCAUAUUCAGGGAUUUAUGAGUUUACCCUGAUUUCACAGACCGUUCGAGAAUUGGGAAAUUAUACAGUUUUAAUUUAGAGCGAGUGUGACUAAGCUACAUUUCAACACGAAGCUAUAUAGAUCAUGUUUGUCAUACUACGGACAGUGUAAUAGACAACACGAUAUGGCUGUUGAUACUAUAAAGUAACGAUCUCAGCAGAUAU